rnacentral:rRNA from 1 species
GAUGAACGCUAGCGGCAGGCCUAAUACAUGCAAGUCGAACGAGAUUACGAGGCUUGCUUCUUAUGAAAGUGGCGCACGGGUGCGUAACGCGUAUGCAACCUACCUUAAUCAGGGGGAUAGCCCGAAGAAAUUCGGAUUAAGACCGCAUAAAAACACAGGAUAGCAUUAUCCAAUGUUCAAAUAUUUAUAGGAUUAAGAUGGGCAUGCGUGUCAUUAGCUAGUUGGCGGGGUAACGGCCCACCAAGGCGACGAUGACUAGGGGAUCUGAGAGGACGACCCCCCACACUGGUACUGAGACACGGACCAGACUCCUACGGGAGGCAGCAGUAAGGAAGAUUGGUCAAUGGAGGGAACUCUGAACCAGCCAUGCCGCGUGCAGGAAGACAGCCCUCUGGGUCGUAAACUGCUUUUAUUCGGGAAUAAACCUUUCUACGUGUAGGAAGCUGAAUGUACCGAAGGAAUAAGGAUCGGCUAACUCCGUG